CGGUCCCUGCAGUUUUCUCCUCUUUCACGUGUUUUUCCAGUUGUAUGUUGGACAUUUACGGAUCGAUUGCCAAUUCCUCCAGAGCUCCUAUAUAGCAUUGCUGUUAGUUGGAACGCUCUUCGGCGCAGAUAAGCAUAUUUGCUGAGAAGACAGGUUGGUUGCGAGAGCCUCGUUUUGGAGUGGCCCUGCCGUGCCCUCCCUCAGGCUUGGGGAGCCAGCACCCCUCAGCUAUUUGCUCUGGCUUCUGGGCUGUCCGGGAGUCUUCUUGGCUGUAGAUGCUGCUGCACCGUGGAAUGUUUUUGUGUGCACUCAGCUUUCUGUGUCACGGUAUCUUAAAAUGACAAGUUUUUUUGUUUGUUUGUUUGUUUGUUUGUUUGUCUUCUCACCGAGAAUAGAGAAACUGUGUAUAUCUUUGCAUGUUACACAGACCUGGUCUGAAAAUGGAGGCCGCUUAAAAAGUCCCUAUAGAUGGUUCUGCAUCUGGCAGAAGAUGGGGACAAGAUCGCGUGUGUAGUGGACCAUGCUCAGAGGGUGAUCAGGCUCUGGUGUCUCUAAUAUAUUUUUAGGAGGUUCCGUAUUAUAUUUUCUUUGGUGGUGGGGGAGGGUGGUACCUUCUGAAUGGCAUUCCAUCUGUCUGCCUUAGUGAUAGAUGUACCCACCAUUAAGCAACUUCCCUGUCUCCCAGACCUCCAAGAACAAACCCACAGGUCUUCCAUUGUCCCUUUCGAAGGAGUGUUCCGUAUGCUUGUGUGCAUGGGACCGCAUUAUUCCUCCACUGUGCUUUGUCCCUGCCGCUCAGCCAGCUUGUGGGCACAGAGGUCCUGAAGGCAGCCUUCACUACCUGCUCUUGGUCUGUUGAUAGUUGUUAAUUUUGUGAUAGGGAGUAGCAACUUGUUUUCGACAAUUUAGUAGGCUCUUUAUACCCUCUUCUUUAAUAGGUAGGCAUCUGCCGUUUCUGCCUUCGCAAUAUUGUUUUCUUUAGAUACCAGAAGAUGUCUCUGGGAGUUGCUUUUUGACAGUGCUUUAUGCCUAACCAUCUUUGGAGAAGAUUGCAUGUUAAAACUUUUUGAUUUUUCCACCAGCUCAUUGUCAUCAGAGCACCAGCUGUCAUCGGAACCCUGAAGCUCUCUCUCCGCCCUUUAGGUUUGGGCCAAGUGCCCUGAGAGCCAGAGGAUGUAGGGUUGUGGAUGCUGCCCAAGCAGGACAGGGGUCUCCUGCCAGAAGCCUUGUUGCCCUUGGUACGUGACGUUAGCACACACAAGUGACUUCGUCACAGAUAGCUAGAUUUCUCCCCUUUGUUGGACAUCUGCCGGAAUUGAAACGUAAUGACUAAAGAUAGGAUUUAGCUAGGUGUUUCGUAGUAAAGAUAAUAGAGUCUUGCUCCAAUUAAGGAUAGUAAGCAGGUCUAAGUAUCAACUAUAAAUGAGAUUAGGAUUCUGUUCUCAUUUCUCAAUGUGAAAAUUUAUUCCCAGAUCAGCAUUAUUUUCUGUUUGGGGUUCUUAAGUACUGAGAAAAAAUAAGAUGUACUAGGUCACUUAAAAAGAAAAAGAAAAAAAGGUCUCCCAGUCUCCAGACUAAAGGAGAGGAGUUCCUGAGGCUUCACAAAUCUAUUAGAACUAACGAAGGUAUGGGGAGAAAGACUCUGAUGAUUUUUGUUUAGAAAAUCACCUCAGUAAUGUCAAGCCCUCCUUUAAACCACAUUAAUCUUUUCACAUUUUCUUGAAAGCUUUGUCUGUUUCCAAUUGAUUGGAACCUCCAUAUGUUAGAGAAAAAUGGGAACUGCAGAAAAAGUUGAAAGCAUGAGGUAUAUUAAAAGUGACUUUAACCCUCUGCUAAAGUAAUUUUACAUUAUUUAGAGUUUGGAUUUGAAGUGAUUCAAAGGCCAUGAAUUUAAUAUUGAUGUGAUUUGAGGAAGUAAAGGGAAAUGUGAUCAUCCCUUCAGUAAAAUUUGUGCUGUUAUCAGUCUGAAGAAUGUGUUCCUUAGAUCAAUUUUGUAUGCAUCUCAGACCACUUAGUGUUCUGUAUUAGCUAUGAGACCUUCAAACAGCCUGACCAGAUUCCCAUUUCAGAUUGAUUAAUUAAUUUCCCAAUUUCAGGUGACUGGUUUUGUUCACUAAAGUUGUUGAAACUUGACACAGAUGGACAGUGAACAGAAUCACUUCAUUGUGAAGAAGGUAGUAACCUGUUUCCCCAGUGAAGUGGGUUUAAAUGUAAAUAGAAAGCAAAUAAUAGUAUAACAACUGUCUGUGGAUAGUAUUUACUCUAACGGGACGUUAAUAGAUACCAAGAGAAUUUAUUAUAAAGACUGAGCAGCUGACUGCUGGCCACCUUGCUUUGUUUUGAUGGAGAUUAUGUGAUGUGGUUUCAGCGGAGGCUGAGACUGCCAGUCAAGGUUGAGAGGAUGAGUUUUAGUGACUUCUUUGCUAUGAGAAAGAACUCAGCAAGGUGUCAUUUCUGGUUUGCAUAGAACUCGUGGAAACAUUUUGGUUUCAGAUUUCCCAGCUUUAUUUUCCUUCUUUCCGGGAAGGCUUUCUGUCUCCGUGACAAGAAGCCUUCCGUGACUUUUCUUUCUUGCCUGUCUAGAGAUUGCAGGCUCGGGUGGCUAAAUCCGCUUAUUUCCUUCCAGUAUGAGAAAGGAUUAUGGACAUGUCUCACGCAGAGACCCAGGAGAGCGUUGCUGCCUCUCAGAGUGUACGUGGAUUGCUAGGACGGUGGUAGCUGUUCUAUACGUCACAGAAUUGCGUAGGGAAGGGGCCAUUUUAGGCUAGCAUAAUUACGUAUUUUUUGCCAGACAGUCAUUUUUAGUCCAGACUCGUUGAACAGACUCUUGGCUUUUUUAUUGUCAAAACAAAUCAAUAAGAGGUACUCCAUAGCCCCCCUCUCCUCUUUUUCUUUUUUAAAACUACAGACCUGUGCCUCGGACAGUGCUGGUCCUAGACUAUCGUAUUUGUAGACUGAAAGCCCCUGUCUCCUCAAAAACCUCGUGUUCUUACUGCCUUUUGCUACACGGUCCAGCAUGGUAGCCAGCAACCCCACAUAGCUACUGAGCAUUUGAAUGUGGCUAGUCUGACUUGAGAACACACUGAGUGGAAAAUACACACCAGAUUUCAAAGACUUAGUAUAAAACGAUUGGAAAAUAAAUUUCAUUAAUAAUAUUCUAUUGAUUACAUAUUGAAACAGUGCUACUUUAAGUAUAUUGGGUUAAAUAACAAAUUACUAAAACUUAAUUUCACCUAAUUUUACUUUUUUUAAAACGUAGCUAGUAGAAAAUAUAAAACUACAUAGGUGGUUCACAUUAUUUCUGUUGGACAGGGCUGGGAUAGCAUUGUUUCUUGAACUUGUCAUUUGACAUCACAUUUAAGGUUUCUGCCAUAUCCAGGUGCCACCUGUGCUACUACUACUGUUAUUAUUAUUUAAAUAUUUAUUUAUUUUUUUUAGAGACAGAGACAGAGUGUGAGUGGGGGAGGGGCAGAGAGAGAGAGAGAGAGAGAGAAAGAGAGAGAAAGAGAGAGGGAGGGAGACACAGGAUCUGAAGCAGGCGACACAGGCUCUGAGCUGUCAGCACAGAGCCCGAUGAGGGGCUUGAACUCACAGACCACAAGAUCAUGACCUGAGCUGACGUUGGAUGCUUAACUGACUGAGCCACCCAGGUGCCCCUGUGCUAUUAUUUUUCUUGAAAAAUAUUUUAAAAAUGAAUUCACUGUUUUACAAAUUGAGACAUUACCAUUUACAUGUAAUAAAAUGCACAGAUCUUAAUUAAGUGUACAGUUAGAGAGGUUUUGGCAUUUGGGUUUUUGUUGUUAAGGUUUAUUUAUUUAUUUUGAGAGAGAGCGUGAGCAGGAGAGGGUCAGAGAGAGAGAGGUAGAGAAAGAAGCCCAAACAGGCUCCACGCUGUCAGCAUCGAGCCCGAUGUGGGGCUCAAUCUCAUGAACCGUGAGAUCAUGACCUGAGUCAAGAUCGAGAGUGUGGGAUGCUUAACCGACUGCAUUACCCAGGCACCCCAGAUUUUGGCAUUUGUGAUUCAUUUCGUUUCUUGUCAGUUCCCUUUCUCUUCUUCCCUACAGCCACUUCAGUUCACCUUUUUAAUAUAAAUUUAGUUUUUAAAUAUAGUUUGUAUCUGUGAAAUCCUGGGUUUGAUGUGUUGGUUACUUUUCCCCCCCAAAACACAUGAAAGUGAGUGCACACUAUUAAUAGAAAUUAAAAAUGUAUUCAUGGCAUCACCCAUCGUGUGUCAGCCCAGGGGUAUGAAUAUUAAACUUUGGGAAAUGUAGGGCUACAUUUCCACUCCACCACAGCCCGUCUUGCCAGCUUGCUGUUCUUUGAAUUUUUUUUUUUUAAUGUUUAUUUAUUUUUGAGAGAGCGAGCGUGAGCAUGAGUGGGGGAGGGGCAGAGAGAGAGGGAGACACAGAAUCUGAAACAGGCUCCAGGCUCUGAGCUGUCAGCGCCGAGCCUGACGCGGGCCUCGAACCCACGAACUGGGAGAUCAUGACCUGAGCCGAAGUCAGACGUUUUAACUGAGUGAGCCACCCAGGCACCCCGGCUUGCUGUUCUUUGAGUACAGGGUGUACAUGCUUGUCAUUGAAUCCUCACUGCUGGUGUCAGCCAGCAAUGCAUGCCCUCAGUUGCUUCUUCCUUUAUUUGUGUCCUUGUCCUCCGUUGUACACACCUGUCCCAUUGUUUUAUGGCUGUUUUCAGGGACAUCUCCCUCACUUGCCCUCGAUAGGGGGAGAUCCUUGAGGGCAGAGGCCAUGAAAUCAUCUCUGUUCUUCGGCUCCUUAUGUUCAGUAGGUGUUUGAUGAGUUGAGACAGAAUAACCCUGCACUAAAGUAAAAUCUGAGUCAUCAGAAACCACUUGGGAAAUUGAGGGGACUUUCUCUUCUUCCGACCUGGAAAGUGCUGAACGUUUGUUUGAGAUAACGGAGGAAGAUAACUACUACCGUUCUCAAAUAACAUACAGCGUUGGGCAGAGUCAACAGAGCAAACACCCCAUUAAGUACACAGGCGACACAAAGAUGGAGCAAAGGGCAGAUGCUCAUUGGGAAAUUAUAGGCCAAAAAGCAGAGCAAUGAAACCCAGCUGGGAUUCAUGAAUGGCUAAGACAGGCCUCUGCUGUUUCCAGUUAUCUGAGCCGAUGAUUUGCCUCAGGUGGAAGCCCUGGUUCGUGGUUGCACAGAAGCUGUCAGCUAACCAUGUGAGUUUAAGGGACAGGUAGAGUCUUUAAAAAUCUUCAGGGUACCUGGGUGGCUCAGUCAGAUGAGCGUCUGACUUCAGCUCAGGUCAUGAUCUCACAGUUCCCGAGUUUGAGCCCCACGUCGGGCUCGCUGCUGUCAGCACAGAGCCCACUUUGAAUUCUCUGUCCCCUUCUCUCUGCCCCUGCCCCACUUGUGUGCUCACUGUCUCUCUCAAAAAUAAAUAAACAUUUAAAAAAUUAAAACAAAAUCCCCAACCCGGUUGUGACCCUGACACUGCUUUUAGUGGUCUUGCAAUUUUCGUCUUCUCGUCCUUCUCCUUGCUGUUCGUCUGGAAGUCCUCUGAGGGCAGGAACUGUGCUUCAUUUCUCUUUCAAGACACCUAGCAUGGUAACUGGUGCAUGGUGGGCAUUAAACCAGUAUUUGCUGAGUGAGUGGUUGAAAAGGUGUCAAAAACUGCUUUACUUUAUCGUUCCCAGAUUAACCCUCCUUUGAUGCGGUUUGAUAACUUCACCUUUGGUGUUCAUAGUACUCAGCUGUGAUAGAAAUGAAAGCAGAAAAAAACUGAAUUACUUGUGAUAAAUUCCCGCUUUAUUUUUAUCAGCAAAGGUGCUUAUUUGCUCUGUAUUAGCAGAGUAGUGGAUCUUGAAAUGUGUGAGUUGACCUAAUGACAAGGGGUCAGUUACGUUAGAGGUUUUUUUGGUGAUGAUGAAUUGCACGGAGCCGUUCCCCCAGAUUUUUUUUUUUUUUUUCUAUUGUUAAAGCUGGGAUAAGAAUUAAGCCAAAGAUCCUGGUUAUUACCCAAGGCUGGCUAGACAGGAAAAAUUGUGAUAACCACACUGUGGCCUUUUGAGUCCAUUUUCCAGUUAAGUAUAAGGGAUUUGACUGAAAUACCUGGAAAUAAUGGUGUUAGCUUUGUGAGGGUGUGUAUCUUGAAAAUUGUUAACAAUUGCUGAAAUAAAAACAUUUUAUUUUAGGGCGGGGGAGGAAUGAAAGGAAUCCAUCAGAUAACUUGGGUUAGUUUUCUUUCCAUCCCACUUCUUUGUAAGAAGGAAUGUUUUCAUUUUGCCCAGUGAGAAAUUUAAACUCUUGAAGAUUAUAAUUCAUUAAAACGGGUAGAAGAUUAAUAUUUAGUCUGUCAAGAUCAAUACUGUCCCCUCUUUGCACUAAUUGUCAGAAGAGCGUGCGAGGGCCGCUGAAGGGUAGCGGUGUGCGGCAGGACCCUCACAUCACAGGGAGAUGAUUCAAAGGCAAACUGUCCUGCACCCUCUGGUAUCGACUUGCAAAUUAGCAUCUGGAAUCUAAUUAAACAAGCUUAAUGAAAGUAGCAGCUGAAUGCUGCUGGAAAAGACAAUCAGCUUUUUUCCCCCUCUCUGAUACAUACUCUGUACUAUUGAAGUUGGUCACCAAACACAUCGUGUGAGCACAGUUAAAAAAAAUUAGCAUUUAUUUGAAGAAUAGAAACUGUUUUUCAUUCUGUUAUGCAUUUGGCAUGCUCUGGCGUCCCAUGAGAGCCAUGCCACAGCAGAUAGUGCACAAUAUUUAUAAAUCCAUGACAGGCAAUAAUAGCAACUUGAAAAAUUCUUUUGCUAGAAUCUCAAGUUGAGAGCUGCCAAAAGCGGAGAGGAUCAGAUCUGCAGUGGCAGCUGCUGUGCCCUACAGUUAGAAUUCUAGACUUUGAAGAUGCUCAGCUUAAAGAAAUGAAGACUGCAGGCUUAGCCAAUUUUUGCAGGUUUCUAGAGCUCUGGCGCUCUGCCUUUUGAAGAUGAGUUGCUGAAGCUCCUACCACUGCCUGAGGCGUGCUAACACCAGCAGGAUCUUUUUUUUCCCCCAGUCUUAGUGUGUCUUCAGUUUUAAGUAGCACAUGCUUAGUCAGUGCCAACUCUGAUGGUCCUUUCUCUGGUCACAAUACCGAGGGAUGAGCUCUUACCCUGUACCCUUCAGAGGGAAGCCGCGAAGAUAGAUGGUGACGUAUACAAGUGCCACUUCAGCCGUCUGAUUUAUGGAGUCAUAUUUCAUCGCUCGGCAAGUGCUGGCCUCUAGAGAAGCCCUUAUAGAUUGCUAAAGAUGUGAGCAGCUAUCGCCCUAAAGGCUUGUGGUUACCUCACAGACGUGAUGCCAAACACCUAGCUACCGAAGAAACAGAAUUAAUCUGUCAUUGCAGGCAGCUAUAGAUCCACUUUAAAUAAUGAAAGAGUUCAUACCAAUAUGGUGUCCUGACAGCAAAUCUUGGAAGUAACUAUAGUUGGGUUUUUUUUCUUUUUUAAGUCUGGUAGUAGAAAGAUACUGAAGUUACAGAUUCGUUUGUCCUUUGCAGAUGGACAGUAGUGGAAGUGAGCUGCAUUAUUUUGAUUAAAAAGAGGAAUUUCUUCAGUUUGGCACAUAGACGGGUCCCCAAGGAACACAUGGAGGAUGGGUUCGGUGUGGUCAGGUGGAAAGGGGCAGCGUUGCUUGGGAGCUAGAGGAUUGGGCUGUGAGCCUGUCUCCACUGUCCUCAGGGCAUGACUCUUGAGUAAGCCACGGCCCGAGACUGUUCAUCUAGAAGAUGGGGAUCCAGAGACCUGCCUCGAGGUCGCUGUCAGGAUUAGAUGUGGUCUGUAAAACACCUUAUAUGGUGGCUCACACAAAAUUGGCUCUAAAAGAUGGCAGCUGCUUCUGUCUUACAGUUACUCAGCGGUAGGAUACAAACCUCACAUAGCAACGACUAGAUACGAUUAUUUGUACUUGCAUCAGGCUUGGAGAUUAUAGCAGAAUAUAGAGGCGAUUUCUCUCUGCCAUCUAGAAGCUUAAAAUCCGAGACAGACUUGUGGGGAGGUCAUAAUGACAGUAGAAGAAGCCUGCUCAACACAUACCACGGGCUGUGGAAGGAUUUGCCUUUCUGCGGUGAGGGGGGAGGAGGUGAUGAAGAUCCAGUAAUCACGGUAGCUGAUGCUCGUUGAGUGUUGGCACACUGUGCCAGACUUUUCUAACCGCUUCCUCGGCAUUCUCUCCUUUACUUUUCAGUAACUGUGCGGGGUCUGUACUUUGUUAGCGCUGUUUUGUGGAGCGGAACAUGAGGAUGUGGGGAGGUCAGAUACCUUGCCCCGGGUCACACAGCUAGUCAGCGGUGGAGUCACCAUUUGAAUCCCGGUCGGUCUGUCGGUCUGGCUUUAGAGCCCUCCGGCGCGAUCCGUCACUGUGCCAUUCUGCCUCUUUGCUAGGCUUGAGAUUCUCUGACAACAGAGUGGGGAAGACAUCUUAUUCCAGGUGAGCAGAGGUCUGGGCUGCUCGGGCUGUUCCUUUUCUCUGAUGAGGUCUUGUGAAGACGGCAGGAAGCCAAACAAAUGUCAGUGGAGGUGCGUAAACCUCUUCCGUGAGCUCAGCGAUUGGAAGGAGCCCAGGAACAGAAAGACGCAAGGAAGUUUAGAAAUCCAGAGCUAUUGGGAUCUAUAAAAAAAAGUCACUUGGCUGUGAAAAAUAUAUGUUUUUCCUCUUUGAAUUCAUUGGACUUUUUCAUCUUUUAACCCUUCUUCACCCCAAAUACCCCGUGACUGGCUUUCUUCCCCCGCGGGUUUUCAGAUAUUUACAAGGGAGCUGUUUUCUCUAUAUAGGUAGCAUUUAGCUGGCAUAAGCCUCUUCAGAUUUAGUAAUGAGACCAAGAAGUCCUUAAAUAUUAGUGAAUGGCAUUUGUCCAUUUGAGGCAAAUCAUGAAUAACUUGAACAAAAAUAAAAAAGAAAUAAGCAAGACUAUCAUAUUUGAAUAAUGAGGUGCUCUUUUUUUUUCCCAACUGCCAAAACUUUUUAAUCUUCGUCAACAAUUGUUCUGUCCUCCGUCUUAUUUCGGUUGCAUCUGUGCGACUCUGAGCUCAGGAGCCCUGACAAGCGGCAUAUGAAUUCUGUAUUCAUUAGUGAUCUUGAUCCAAAUGCCUCUGUCCCUGCCACGGGGGCUCAGGUGUGGAAGCUGCUGGCUAAUCCCGCCAGCUGACAUUCAGAGGUUUAAUGACUCCAUGGGUAGGUGACCACUCGCUGGGAGGGUUGCUGGCGGAACCCACACAGCAGACAAUGGAGAUCAAGGAAGACGAUCAGUGUUUAGCCGAAGCACCUUCCUGUGCGACUUGAACCCUGUUGGCAUCAAACAGAGUUUUAAGUAAAUGCAAAAUUAAAAAAAAAAAAAAAUCUGACCUUCGCUAGCUCUCAUAAACAAUGGUUUUUCUGUCCUGUAUUGAUAUCGAUGGGGUUUAAGACUGUUUUUCUUGUUACACUUUAAUGGGUGUCAGCUUAAUGAGCUGAACUUGAUGCACUUUUCCAGAUUUUACGUUUGUCUGGUUGCUACAUCUGUUUAGGGGUCUUAUGUAUGUCUGGGAAAAAUAUAUAUAGUUAGAGCCUAAAUUCUUUCUUAUUAAAUGCUUUUAAGGAUCUGUGCUGACGUUUUUGUUUACUGUGAUCUCUAGCUUUGAAAAAAAUACUAUUAGAAUGUGAGUUCUUUGACUUGUGAUGUGUCACAGGAUGUUUUGACUCUUCUUUAUUAGGUCCUGCAGUCUAAAAAUGUUGGAUGCCGGGGUGCCUGGGUGGCUCAGUCGGUUGAACGUCCAAUUCUUGAUUUCAGCUCAGGUCAUGACCCCAGGGUGGUGGGAUCGGGCCCUGCAUCGGGCUCUGUGCUGAGAUUGGAGCCUGCAUGAGAUUCUCUCUCUUUGUCCCUCUCCCCCACUCAUGCUCUCACUCUCUCUGAAAUAAGUAAAUGAGAUAAAAAUGUUGCAGGCCUAUUUUUAAAUAGGAGCUUCUUCAAGAUAUAAUUUACAUCUGUACAGCUCAGCUACUGUAAGUGUACAGUUCCGUGAUUUUUAGGCUGUUCACAGAGUUGCACAGCUAUCACCACAGUCGCUUUGGGAACAUCUCCAUCACCCGCAGAAGAAAUCCCAUCAUCAUUAGUAGUCACUCCUCAUUUACCCUCAACCUCCCCAGCCCUGGGCAAUAACUAAUCUACCUUUUGUCUCUAUAGGCUUGCAUUUUCUGGACAUUUUGUAUAAUAGGAAUUAUACAACAUGUGGUCUUUUGUGACUGGCUCCUGUAACUUCCAAUGUUUUCAUAUUUCAUCCAUGUUGUAGCAUGUAUUGGUACUUCAUUCCUUUUUAUGGUUUAAUACUAUUCCAUUGUGUGGACAUAACCACAUUUUAUUUACCCAUUCAUUCGUUGAUGGACAUGUGGAUUGAUUUUACUUUUAGGCUAUUAUGAAUAAUGAUGCUAUGAAUGUUUGUGUACAAGUUUUUGUGUGGGGCAUAUACUGUCAUUUCUCUUGGGUAUACAUACCGUGGAGUGGGCUUGCUGGGUUGUAUGGUAACUCUACGUUUAACCUUUUGAGGAACCAUCAGACUGGUUUCCAAAGUGGGCUGGGUCACUGGAUGUGCAUUAGUUGUGUCUUUAUUGUUGAAUAAAAAAUGUAUUAAUGUUCCUUAAUAAUUUUGUCUCUGGUUGGCCCUGUGUAGAAUUCUUAAGUAGCGACUUCCAGUGGAGUUAAACAGUUAAUUUUAGAAAUAAACAGAUAGUGAAGUUGGCGUUAUGAUUCCAUGGGUGAUUAGGAGAAUCACUAUUAAACCUUUAGAUGAUAAGGAGACCCUACUGAUGGUCAUUAAAGCUUCUUACCAGAUCGGAUAUGUUGAGUUGUCCCCCGUUUACAAAAAGUGAGUAUGUUCUCUUAAGUUGGAGCACACUAGUGAAUCUAAUUUGCAGAGGCAGAAAGGGACUUCUUGAGUUAAGGUUACUCCCUUGGAUCUUUUCCUUUUGUGAUGUUUUAUAAGGCAGAUGGAAGUUUGGUCUCACUCCUGAUGAUUCAAGAGCAGGACUUUGCUCCCUAUGGUACAGAGUUUGGGAUUUCACAAGUAAAUGCUUCUCUCCCCCUGAUUCUGUGGGAUUCUUUAGUCUCCCUUGACUUAGGAAUGGCCACUUCAGUGUCCAUUCAUCUGGCUGAGUCUGUUUGUCCUCCUCGCCUCUCUGUCUUCAGACCCUCAGUUAAUGGUGGUGGCUGGCCAUCAUGUCCACCGUGACCGUUUUUCUUCUGUCUGUGAUACAAGUUGAAGUUCAGAGUGGAAUAUUUCAGGGAAGGGGCAAAGGAAAUUUUAGAAAGGGUGUCUUAAUUUUUUCCACUUAGUUUCAGGAAAUAAAAGGGGAUUGGAUGGUAGGAGGCCCAGAAAGAAAGGUGUAGCUUACCAAAAUCUCCGGUGUGCUGGGAAUGGGCUCCUCUGGGGGCCAGGCCUCUGGGCUUCAGUAGUCCGCAGAUCUUCGGGAAGCGAUCCUGUGUAAAAUGCGAAGUCAUCUAUCUCCAGAUCUUUGAGGCCGUGUGGAGAGUACUGCAGGUGCCACACUGCCACAGUCACUGGCUUGGAGAAUUCUUUGUUGGUUUUCUGCCAAAAACAUUUCUGUGCAAAAAUUUUUCCCACUGUGCUUAUGUACACUGAAUUUCGUUUUCUUGUAAAGUCAAUAUGUAAUCAAUCAGCAGGUACUUAUUGGGCACCAGCUGAAUGCGAGACAUUACACGAUGUAAUGUCUCAUCGUGGUGCUGCGAUCCAGAGGUAGGAUUGCAGGAGGCUGUUCUGUAUGAUGGUGGAACGUUCUUAUACAGCUAUGGGCAAAGUAGAUUGAAAAGGAGGGAUUAUUUUACUCUGUGGUAUAUAGGUAAUUAUUUAUGAUGCAUUUCUUUGGAGCAGGUGUUCCCAUUUGAAAUGUUUCCACUUUACAUAUUUCCUGUAACUGAGAAAGGCAGGGGGAAAUAUUCCAUACAGGAGAAAUAUUUCAGAGUAUAUUGCUUGCUGCACCUGUGGCAAAGAUCCAGCAGGCAAAAUGUAACUUCUUUGUGACCAGCAACUCUUCAAUCAGAGAGGCAAGAGCUAGUUUCUAAUGUUGAAUAGAAAUAAAUGUUUGGUGACUUUCAACUGCAUGGGUAGAAUUAAUAGGAAGUUAUUAUUGUUAACACAGUAUUCUGGAUCAUGUUAUCAAAGAGAAAAAAUGAACUUCUUUAUCUGUCUCUUACCAAAUUAAAUGGUCUUUGCUAA